rnacentral:misc_RNA from 1 species
UUCAGUCUUCCACUAAAAACUCCUACUUUCGUCUUUCAUUUCUUCAGUUUUCUCUCAUCUCCUCAGUCCCCUCUCUUCUUCUUCUUUCUGUGGUCUGCACUUUGCCUCUCGCACGUUCUCCCCUUUACUUGCCACAAUAUCUCUCCUUUUCUUUUCACCUAACGAAUACAGAUGCUUCCUUUUCAAAGCUGCUAUGGGUUCGUUCGUCAUGAUCCAAGCCUGGUCAACGUAAUGGACUUGGACGCCGGAGAAUCGAUCCUCAGCUCCUCGUCGAGAUCGCAAAAGAAAUCAACAGAUGCAUGCAAGAGCCAUAAGGAAGCUGAGAGGAGACGCAGACAGCGUAUCAACGCCCACCUCUCUACUCUCCGUACUCUCCUGCCCAGCACCACUAAGGUUGGUUAUUUUUGUAUUUCUUUCUCUUCCUCUUUUCGAAUGCCUUAGUUCGUGAAUAGCGUAAAAUCUAAAGGACAUUAACGUAAUUUGGAUUUCUCUCUUAUUUUGGUCUAUAAACAGACAGACAAGGCCUCGUUGCUAGCGGAGGUGGUGCAUCACGUGAAGGAGCUAAGAAGGCAAGCCGCUCACUUGGCGCGUCAUCAGGAUAGCGACAGUUGCUGUAGCAUCAGCAGCAGCGGAGGAGGAGCAGAGCCUGAGCAGAACUGUGCGUUUCCUGGAGAAUCAGACGAGGCGACUUUGAGUUAUUGUGAUGGUGACGCGAAGACGAUAAGGUUGAGCAUUUGUUGUGAGGACAGACCUGGGUUGAACCGGGAUUUAUCUCAGGCGAUCCGGUUGGUUCGAGCCAGGGCGGUCCGAGCUGAGAUGAUGACGGUUGGAGGACGGACUAAAAGUGUGGUAGUGCUGCAAUGGGCUAAUGGCGGUGGUGGAGAUGAGGAGGUGGGAAUUCUGAGAAGAGCAUUGAAGGCCGUUGUGGAAAAUCGGGUCUCGGGUUCUGGACUGGGCCAUGUGGUCCAUGGGAAUAAACGGGUUCGAGGCUAUGGUUGGGUUAACGGUGAUGAUCAGUUUUGAAUGAAAAAUGAUGAAUUGAUCUGAAAAAUUUUGUAUAUUUUAAUAUUUGUUUAGUGGGAGUUGGUCAUAGUUGGUCCACCAAAUGUUAUAGAAGCAAAACUCUUCAAUUUCCUAUCCAUGCCACCUCAUUCCAAGAAACGAAAUUUCCAUACAAAAGCGAAAUGGAAUGGAAUAAAGUCCG